UGGCUCAGUGGUAGAGCACUUGCUUUGCAUGCAUGAGGGCCUGGGUUCGAUUCCUCAG
rnacentral:tRNA from 1 species